AACGCACAUUGCGCCCGCCAGUAUUCUGGCGGGCAUGCCUGUUCGAGCGUCAUUUCAACCCCUCAGGCCCUGGUGCCUGGCGUCGGGGCCGUCUCCCGCGAAGGAGAGCCCUCAGAAACAGUGGCGGACCCGCCGCGGCUCCGAGCGCAGUAGUCAAUAUUUCUCGCUCUGGAGGUCCGUGGCGCGGCACUCUAGCCGUAAAACCGGGCCAGGGAAACCUGCAACAGCCCAAACCCCACAAGGUUGACCUCGGAUCAGGUAGGAAUACCCGCUGAACUUAA
rnacentral:misc_RNA from 1 species